AUGACAAAGAAGGACCAAACUGUGGUAAGUGUAUUAAUUUGUACCGCUAUUAACCUUCACGUAGUGUACUACACAUGCAUAGGACAUAAAACAGGCGUUUACAUGGAUGCCUUCAUUUUUGAUUUCGUUCAUGCAAAGCAAGAUUCUUGUGACCUUGAAAUUGUGAUGCAUUCAAGAGGCUGCAAAUAUAAAAAACCAUCAAUGCACUGUCAUUAAAUAUGAAUUUUGUUUGCUGUAGAAUGAAAAUUUUAACUUUUUUCUUUAGUUAAUUUUCCUCCAUUUAUUGGAGAAUAGAGAAUAAACAUUCACUUAUAUAAGGUAUAAUCAUCAAUUCAGUUGUUCAUUGGUUCUCAACUAACACAUUAGGGAGCAGCCAACUAAGCAUAGCUACAACCUAAAACUUGUUCAUGGAAAAUAGUAGAUUUUGAAAAGGUUAAAAUAAGUGGAAUUCAUUAACUUAUAAUUUAUUAAUUAUUUAAUUUAACUAACUUUAACAUCAUUUUUAUUUUUAUCUUCCACUUUCUUUGUUCCAUGUCACAGAACUUGAAAAGCAUAUCCCUGAU
rnacentral:misc_RNA from 1 species